AAACGGUUUGUUUACUGAACCGAGACCGAACAUAUAUGUUCGGAAUAUCUUUUUGUCACUGGAUUUAUCAGUAAUUAAAUCUUCUUAAUGUCUAUCUCGGAAAAAUAUUUUCUUUAGCUCUUCACUGGUUUUAAGCUGGUUGCCGAACUGCUUAUUAUAGGCUAGCUCACCAGUCUCUAUACGGCAUUCCCAGUUUAUAAUUUUUAAUAACUUUUUAAGAAGUGUAGAAUCAUUUUUCAAAUUUGAAAAAAGAAAGAUGGUUAGUUAAUGACCAUCAAUUUAUUUUACAAAAGCGAGAAAGUGUUUCCGAAAGAAGAAGCGGAAAAAAACAUUUCAUAGGGCCUAGCAACAAUGAGUAGAAUGGUCAACUAUGACGUCAGUAAAUCUUAUCGUUGUGGUUUGUUUAUAUUUGCCAACGAGGGUUUGAAAUACGCUUUUUGAAAUCUCUCUAGUUAGGGGAGGAUUUAAUGUAGUAUAACUAUAGAAACUGACCGAUUUCAAGAAAUUCCUUUUUAUAAUAAACAGAUGAUAUUUUCUUAAGAUUAAAAAAAAUCAGAGAGGAAGAAAUAAAAUUUCUUCUAUACUCAUUUUUCAGACAGAGUUGACAACAAGACUAAGAGAGCAUUUGUUUUUCAUUCUCAGUGUUUAUUCAAGUUUGGCAUACUUGUCUGAGAAUAAAUCUACCUAGAUUAACAUUUUGUGUAUCCUAUCAUCUUACCAGAACUCAUCUGAGAAAAUGAUCAGGCCUUGGGGUGUAUUCUUUAAUUGGAGACAAUUUCAAACUCGAUGUUGGAAUGACGAUGACGGACAUAUAAGUCAAAAUUUCAGAUAUUUUCGUGACAAUUAUUUCAUUGUACUCUUCACUGUAUUUGUAUUUUUUUGUUUCGUCGAAAAAGAUUAUACUAAGAUACGAUACAUAGCUGGAUACUUGCUUUUUACAUUCUAUAUUGUCUAUAAUAAGGGGAUUACUAGCAUCGCUAAUACAUGGUUUACAGUGGCAACUAUCUUAUUCUUAAUAGCGAUUUACCCAGUUUCGAAAGUUAAAUUGUCGUUUAGUUUAUGGAUGAUUGCUUUAAAAAGUUUAAUUUACUCAGGAAUUUUUGCUUGGGUUCAUUCCUGUGUGUAUUUAUACCGUUUUUCUCAAAGAGACAACAGAAAUUUGCACCCACAAAGUUGACAAAAUAAUGUAUAUGUGUAUCAUCGGCAAAACAGAUAAGUGUGCUGCCUAAUACUUUUAAUUUUGUCUCUCUUAUAAGUAACAUACUACAGUUUUCGUUCCCCUGUCUGUGUUAUGAUUUUGCUGUAAUGGCUGUAGUAUAAUUUUUCUUGUUUUAUUUAUAUAGCAGUACCUCAAGUCUUAAUUUUGAAAUACCUGGUCGUACAACGAAGUCGUACAACAAAUGGAAAACUAGUAAAAGAGUAUUGCCAUAAAAUUUUUCGUUUUAUUUAAAAAUAGAGAGAAAGAAAUUGAAAAAUUUAUAAAAACUUGAAACGCAAUCGAAAAUGAAUUAAGCUAAAAUAACGUAAAACGGCAUAAAAAAGCACAUGAACAGACAGCACUAGAAUCAUUCCAGGCCAAAAGCACAGCUAUCAUCUGCCCUAAUGCAGAACCAUUAAGUAACGAAACACUGAAUCAAUCUUUAAGUGGAAAUAGCAUCUGUUAUAAACUUCAUAGGCCUUUCUACAUAUAAACAUGUUCUUUUACAGACAUCACAAGCUUUUUUUAUAAAGAAACAUGUACUGUUACAGGUUUCACAGACUUUUUGACAGAUAAAUAUGUUCUACUGUUACAAUUUUCACAGGCUUUCUUACAGAUAAACAUGUUUUGUUCAGUAUUUUUUACAAGAAAUAAAGAUGCAUU